GAAGGACAAAUUGGUGGAAUUUGGUCAGAAAAUAUACAUAUCUUUGCAUGUAAAUAAAUGUCAUCUCCCCUAUGCUGGUGUUCAACAGUACAAUUGCACAAUUUACUAGAUGAAGAAAGAAUUGAGGCUGCUACUGAGAGAUGCUGUUGAGAAUCUGUAAUAAAGGAAGUAGAAAUGUUUCCAAAGUAGAACGAUGCUGAAAAAGUAUGAACAGUACUAAAACUCCUUACCCUUUCUUGUCUGUAAGGGGAAAAAUGUCAUCGUCUCCUCCAGCAUCUUCACUGUGACAGACACUAAAGAAGAAUCUGGCAUCUUUCUGUUCUUGCAAACAAAGAGAUCGUGUUCUUUGGGCCACUUGUAAUAUUUACCAGGUUGUGUCCGUGUGACCAGCAGUGUGGGCGGGUGACCUCUCAGAACUGCGGCUUUCCCCUCACUGCCAAGGGUUUUAUUGUUGUUGUCCUGGCUGAAAUUAGCAGGCUGUCGGGAAUGCACACGUUUGUUGUGAGUGAUUGCAGUCACUCAGUUCUUCAAGACCAAAGCUUUACGUAAAUUAAAUUAAUAAUAAAAAAAUGUGUUCAGACA
rnacentral:lncRNA from 1 species